UACAGAGGUCUCAACCGUUGUUCGGAUUUAUUGGGCGUAAAGGGUGCGUAGGCGGCGCGGUAAGUCGGGUGUGAAAUCUUGGAGCUUAACUCCGAAACUGCAUUCGAUACUGCCGUGCUUGAGGACUGGAAAGGAGACUGGAAUUUACGGUGUAGCGGUGAAAUGCGUAGAUAUCGUAAGGAAGACCAGUGGCGAAGGCGGGUCUCUGGACAACUCCUGACACUGAGGCACGAAAGCUAGGGGAGCAAACAGG
rnacentral:rRNA from 1 species